rnacentral:rRNA from 1 species
GAACCUUACCAGCCCUUGACAUGUCCGGGACCGGUCGCAGAGACGUGACCUUCUCUUCGGAGCCCGGAACACAGGUGCUGCAUGGCUGUCGUCAGCUCGUGUCGUGAGAUGUUGGGUUAAGUCCCGCAACGAGCGCAACCCCCGUCCUUAGUUGCUACCAUUUAGUUGAGCACUCUAAGGAGACUGCCGGUGAUAAGCCGCGAGGAAGGUGGGGAUGACGUCAAGUCCUCAUGGCCCUUACGGACUGGGCUACACACGUGCUACAAUGGCGGUGACAAUGGGAUGCUAAGGGGCGACCCUUCGCAAAUCUCAAAAAGCCGUCUCAGUUCGGAUUGGGCUCUGCAACUCGAGCCCAUGAAGUUGGAAUCGCUAGUAAUCGUGGAUCAGCACGCCACGGUGAAUACGUUCCCGGGCCUUGUCACACCGA